GGCGGCCCCCAGCCCUGUGAGCUCGCAUGGCGCGCCCUCUGGGUCCUCGCGGUCACCUUGCAUUCCGAGCACGGCCGUGUUAUGUAUGCCUUUAGUUGAUGCUGGCCAAAAUUAGACAACUUAGUGGCAGACGUCGAGCUAGAAUUUUUGUUUGAGAUCCUUUUUCCCUGGUCGUCUUUCCAAACUGCGUGAGUGCAUGGCCUCGAGGCGGCCCUGGAGGGAUUUUCUUGUUAAACUUCAUACAGAACUAAUUAGGAAAGAGGAAAUCUUAGGAGGAGUUCUUUGCUGUCUCAGAAGAAAUGCCAGUUCUUCUUCCGGAAUCGAUGGGGAAUGGAAUGGGGUAACCAGCAGGUAUAUGUGCUCAUAGCUGCCAAAACUUCCCUGGAAUGCAAAGCAGAGCCAUGGACAACAGAUUGGGGAGGAAGUCAAGAAGGAGAUGUGACCUAUGUGAGACCAUGCUCUGGAGAAGAGAGACCGCAUCAACAGCCAGACAUCUUUACAUGUAAAUGAUUCAUCAGAAGCAAAAAUUUGGAGUCAGAGAAGACAAGGAGAAAUGUAGUCAUCUCCCCACCCCAACACACUUAGGGCUUAACUUGGAGUGGUUGGGGGCAUGCGAAUCAACUGACUAAGAUAAAAGACAAGGAUGAACGGAUGGAUGUGUGAAAGGAAAAUAAAUCUUGGAGCCCCCAAAUCACUAAGCUAAAGGGAAAAGUCAAGCUGGGAACUGCUUAGGGCCAACCUGCCUCCCAUUCUACUCAAAGUCACCCCUCUGCUCACUGACACAGAUGCAUAUCUGAUUGCCUCCUUCGGAAAGGCGAAUCAGAAACUCAAAAGAAUGCAACCAUUUGUGCCUCACCUAUUUGUGACCUGUAAGCCUCCUCUCUGCUUCAAGUCUUCCUAGCUUUGCUUCAAGUUGUCCCGCCUUUCCAGACCGAAACAGUGUACUUCUUACAUAUGUUGUUUGAUGUCUCGUGUCUCCUUAAAAUGUAUAAAACUAAGCUGUGACUGAGCACCUUGGGCACAUGUUGUCAGGACUUCCUGAGGCUGUGUCACGGGCACAUCCUCAACUUUGGCAAAAUAAACUUUCUAAAUUAACUGAGAUCUGUCUCAGAAUUUCUGGGUUCAUAGAUUGACAGGGAAUUUUUUUUUUUUUUUUUUUUUUUUUGAGACAGGGUCUGGCUUUGUCACCCAGGCCAGAGUGCAGUGGUGCAAACUCAGCUCACUGCAACCCCUGUCUCCUUGGCUCAAGUCAUCCUCAGACCUCAGCCUCCUGAGUAGCUGGGACAGCAGACAUGUGCCACCACUCCCAGCUAAUUUUUUUUUGUAUUUUUUGUAGAGAUGGGGCUUCACCAUGUCACCCAGGCUGGUCUCCAACUCCUGAGCUCAAGCGAUCCGCCCACCUUGGCCUCUCAAAGUGCUGGGAUUACAGGUGUGAGUCACUGUGCCCGGCCAGCAUUUCAUUGUCUUUUAUGACAUUGCCAUUUUUGAAAAAACAAUCCCUUUUUUAAAAAAAAAACUAGAAUGUUCCUUAUUUUGAGUUUGUCUGAUACUUCCUCAUGAUUAGUUUCAGAGUAUGCAUUCUGGCCAGAAUAGCACAUUAGUGAUGUUGUCCUCAGGGAGUCACACCUAGAAGCAUAUAAUCUGUGUGUCAAAUGCCCCUUAUUUGUGAUGUCAAUUUUGAUCUGCUGGUCAAGGUAUUGUCUGAGUUGUUCAAAUGAUAGUAGUUUUUUUCUCUUAUUCCUAAUAAGCAAUCUAUGGGAAGAUAUCAUAAGGUCAUCCAAAUAUCCUGCUCCUCAUCAAAAAUUUAUCUCUAGAUUUAGCAUCUAUUGAUAAUUUUUGCCCAAAUGAAUCAAUAUUUACUGUGUUGGCAGAAAAAAAAUGAAGAUUUUCCAGUUCAAUUACUCUUUUCACAUUUACAAUUCAGCACUUGGCAUUCUUGCAUAAGCAAGACCUCUUCUUUCUUUACAUAUUUAUCUACAUGUUAUUAGCAUGGACUAAUGAAAUUACUAGGUUUUUUUGUUUGUUUGUUUGUUUUUUCCCAAUGGUUGGUGCUCAAAUUGUCCUAUAUUUGAUGAAUGGGAGCCCCUUCAAGCUGGCUCCUGUGUUCUCGUGUCAUGCCCUAUCAUUUUGAGCAGUUCCUUACUCUUUGACCUAAUAAGUUGCUUCAGGCUCACCUUGUACCUUUUCUGGCCCACCCAUUUCGUCCAAGAGCCUUUGAAGAAAGGCUCUUUACUAGGGAAUGGUGUCAGAAUCCAACAUCUGAGUUCUAAGUCCUAAUAAUGUUUUAAGGAUAGAUUCUUAGGAUUAUAAUUUUUUUUUUUUUUUGGUCACAGUAUAGUUUUGGAGAUUCUUUAUAUGUAUCACCAAACUGCUUCCUGGAAAUGUACUGAUUUAUUCUCCUACCUGCAGUGCAUAAGAACGCACUUCUCUUUCCAUGCUCACUAACAUUACCUUUUUCCUAACUUUUCAGGUAGAAAAGUAUAUAAUAAUUUUUGUUUCCUAGAUGAUGAUGAUGAUUAUUAUUAUUAUUAUUAUUUGAGACAGAGUCUCCCUCUGUCGCCCAGGCUGGAGUGCAGUAGCUCAAUCUCGGCUCACUGCAACUUCCGCCUCCCAGGCUCAAGUGACUUCCCCAGCUGAGCCUCCCAAGCUGGAAACGUAGGUGCCAUAACACCUUGUCUAAUUUUUGUAUUUUUUUGCAGAGACAAAAUUUCGCCAUGUUGCCCAGGCCAGUCUUGAGCUCCUGGACUCAGCUAUCUACCUGCCUUGGCCUCCCGAAUGUUUCCUAGAUUACUAAUAAGGUUUGUUCAUUUAUUACCUGUUUUCAUUAAAUUAUCUGUUCAGGCUGGGCGCAAUGGCUCACGCCUGUAAUGCCAGCACUUUGGGAGGCCAAGGCGGGUGGAUCUCCUGAGGUCGGGAGUUUGAGACCAGCCUGGCCAACAUGGUGAAACCCUGUCUCUAAUAAAAAUACAAAAAUUAGCCAGGCGUGGUAGCCUGCACCUGUAAUCCCAGCUACUCAGGUGGCUGAGACAGGAGAAUCACUUGAACUCGGGAGGUGGAGGUUGCAGUGAGCUGAGAUUACGCCACUGCAACUCCAGCCUGGGCACCACAGAUUGGGACUCAGUCUCAAACAAAAAUAAAUAAAUAAAUAAAUAAGUUAUCUGUUCAUAUUGUGCCUACUUUUAUCAGAGCUUACAGUUUUAUAUCUGUAUGAAGUGUUCUUAUAUUUGGGACAAUGAUUUUGCUAGCUUAUUUACAUUUAAAUUUUCUUUGUACUUUUACUUUACAUUCAAGUAUUUGAUGUUUAUAUUGAGUCAAAUCUGUCCAUCCUUUCCUUUGUGAUUUUUUUCCCAUUGCUGUAAUGCUUAGGGUAUAUUUUUAUAGAGCAAUAAUAAAUAUUUUAGUGUUAAUUAUAUUCUUGCUGCCCAAAUUAAAAAAGACUCUCUUUUUUUGUGGAAAAGAGUGGAGAAGGAAGAGUGUUG
rnacentral:lncRNA from 10 species